rnacentral:rRNA from 1 species
GAUGAACGCUGGCGGCGUGCCUAAUACAUGCCAGUCGAGCGAACGGACGAGAAGCUUGCUUCUCUGAGGUUAGCGGCGGACGGGUAAGUAACACGUGGAUAACCUACCUAUAAGACUGGGGUAACUUCGGGAAACCGGAGCUAAUACCGGAUAAUAUUUUGAACCGCAUGAUUCAAAAGUGAAAGACGGUCUUGCUGUCACUUAUAGAUGAAUCCGCGCUGCAUUAGCUAGUUGGUAAGGUAACGGCUUACCAAGGCAACGAUGCAUAGCCGACCUGAGAGGGUGAUCGGCCACACUGGAACUGAGACACGGUCCAGACUCCUACGGGAGGCAGCAGUAGGGAAUCUUCCGCAAUGGGCGAAAGCCUGACGGAGCAACGCCGCGUGAGUGAUGAAGGUCUUCGGAUCGUAAAGCUCUGUUAUUAGGGAAGAACAUAUGUGUAAGUAACUGUGCACAUCUUGACGGUACCUAAUCAGAAAGCCACGGCUAACUACGUG